rnacentral:ncRNA from 3 species
GUAAAAAAUUUAUAAGAAUAUGAUGUUGGUUCAGAUUAAGCGCUAAAUAAGGACAUGACACAUGCGAAUCAUACGUUUAUUAUUGAUAAGAUAAUAAAUAUGUGGUGUAAACGUGAGUAAUUUUAUUAGGAAUUAAUGAACUAUAGAAUAAGCUAAAUACUUAAUAUAUUAUUAUAUAAAAAUAAUUUAUAUAAUAAAAAGGAUAUAUAUAUAAUAUAUAUUUAUCUAUAGUCAAGCCAAUAAUGGUUUAGGUAGUAGGUUUAUUAAGAGUUAAACCUAGCCAACGAUCCAUAAUCGAUAAUGAAAGUUAGAACGAUCACGUUGACUCUGAAAUAUAGUCAAUAUCUAUAAGAUACAGCAGUGAGGAAUAUUGGACAAUGAUCGAAAGAUUGAUCCAGUUACUUAUUAGGAUGAUAUAUAAAAAUAUUUUAUUUUAUUUAUAAAUAUUUAAUAUUUAUAAUAAUAAUAAUAAUAAUAUAUAUAUAUAAAUUGAUUAAAAAUAAAAUCCAUAAAUAAUUAAAAUAAUGAUAUUAAUUACCAUAUAUAUUUUAUAUGGAUAUAUAUAUUAAUAAUAAUAUUAAUUUAUUAUUAUUAAUAAUAUAUUUUAAUAGUCCUGACUAAUAUUUGUGCCAGCAGUCGCGGUAACACAAAGAGGGCGAGCGUUAAUCAUAAUGGUUUAAAGGAUCCGUAGAAUGAAUUAUAUAUUAUAAUUUAGAGUUAAUAAAAUUAAUUAAAGAAUUAUAAUAGUAAAGAUGAAAUAAUAAUAAUAAUUAUAAGACUAAUAUAUGUGAAAAUAUUAAUUAAAUAUUAACUGACAUUGAGGGAUUAAAACUAGAGUAGCGAAACGGAUUCGAUACCCGUGUAGUUCUAGUAGUAAACUAUGAAUACAAUUAUUUAUAAUAUAUAUUAUAUAUAAAUAAUAAAUGAAAAUGAAAGUAUUCCACCUGAAGAGUACGUUAGCAAUAAUGAAACUCAAAACAAUAGACGGUUACAGACUUAAGCAGUGGAGCAUGUUAUUUAAUUCGAUAAUCCACGACUAACCUUACCAUAUUUUGAAUAUUAUAAUAAUUAUUAUAAUUAUUAUAUUACAGGCGUUACAUUGUUGUCUUUAGUUCGUGCUGCAAAGUUUUAGAUUAAGUUCAUAAACGAACAAAACUCCAUAUAUAUAAUUUUAAUUAUAUAUAAUUUUAUAUUAUUUAUUAAUAUAAAGAAAGGAAUUAAGACAAAUCAUAAUGAUCCUUAUAAUAUGGGUAAUAGACGUGCUAUAAUAAAAUGAUAAUAAAAUUAUAUAAAAUAUAUUUAAUUAUAUUUAAUUAAUAAUAUAAAACAUUUUAAUUUUUAAUAUAUUUUUUUAUUAUAUAUUAAUAUGAAUUAUAAUCUGAAAUUCGAUUAUAUGAAAAAAGAAUUGCUAGUAAUACGUAAAUUAGUAUGUUACGGUGAAUAUUCUAACUGUUUCGCACUAAUCACUCAUCACGCGUUGAAACAUAUUAUUAUCUUAUUAUUUAUAUAAUAUUUUUUAAUAAAUAUUAAUAAUUAUUAAUUUAUAUUUAUUUAUAUCAGAAAUAAUAUGAAUUAAUGCGAAGUUGAAAUACAGUUACCGUAGGGGAACCUGCGGUGGGCUUAUAAAUAUCUUAAAUAUUCUUACA